AGCAAACCGUGUGUUCCUUCUUUCACCACCAGGGGAAACGUAAGGACAGGAUCAGAGUUCGCAGUUGGACGCAGUUCUCCAGCAAAAUUAUGUGCAGAAUCAGAUAAAUGUUUGGAACAGUUGGCCUCAGAGCGAAGGCAAGUUGGUAAAGGAAGGAUCGACCAUGCUGGUCGCGACGAUAGGAAAUGGCGGUGCUGGCAGUUUCCUCUGCUCGGCGGCCUCAGUCCGCCACUCCCAUCACAGGCUUCUUUCUUUCCGCUCUUCAUUGAGCUCGGGGAUGAGGUUGUGCUCUUAUAAUCUGUCACUUAACUGCAAAAGGAGCAAGCUGAGGGUGGUGGUGGUGGCCAAUGCUGCGGACUCCACUCAAGCGUCUUCUGCUUCCACACUGAACAAGACAAUCGUGCCUGAUGAUGGCUUCUCACUGUCCAAGGUUUCAUUUGGGGUUGUUGGAUUAGGUGUUGGCUUGGCGCUUCUUGGAUAUGGAUUUGGAGCCUAUUUUAGUUUUCUGCCUGGCUCAGAGUGGUCUGCGUUAAUGCUAACAUAUGGUUUUCCGCUGGCAAUCAUUGGCAUGGCUCUUAAGUAUGCAGAACUGAAGCCAGUUCUAUGCAUAACCUACACAGAUGCUGAAAGGCUGAGGGAGACAUGUGCCACGCCUAUUCUUAAACAGGUGAAGAGUGACGUUACAAGAUUCAGAUAUGGAGAUGAACAACACUUGGAUGAGGCCUUAAAGCGCAUUUUUCAGUAUGGUCAGGCUGGUGGUAUUCCAAGAAGAAGUGCUCCUGUGCUCCAAGCAAUCCGUGAAGAAGUUACUGAAGAAGGGAGGUAUUCUUUAGUUCUUGUGUUUGAGGCCAAAGCCUUGCAGCUGGAUAAUUUUGAACAAAGACAGGCCAAAUUUGCAUCAUUCUUUGGACCAGGAAUCACUGCAGAGAUUGGGAAAGCAGCGGAUGACCUUUAUGAAGUCAAACUCAUUUCCAACACAAAAGCGGAAGCAAGUGGAUAGAACAGAUAUUGUUCUUCCAAAGGGUAGGAUUCUCUUUGUUUCAACGGCUCAUCAUCAGUUGUGUCGAACUGUAGUUGAAAAAAAACUGUUUUCCAAUAUAAAGCUUCUGCAGGUUUGCUGCCAACAAGAAUCGAGAGUAUUGAUGUACAUAGAUAGCUUGACCCACCAUUCAAAAUACACGUCAAUUUGUAUGGUGAUGUCGAUAUAGAAAGUUGGUGCACCACAAAAAAAAAAUUGAGUGCAUCGAAUCACUUCCUUUUCAAUUAGGAAGCCAUCUUAAUCUCCUCUGCUUGUCAACUUUUAUUUUUCAUUUUUUUCAAUGACAAAAAAUGCCAAAUUUGUCUGAUGUAUUGAAACUUUGUCAAUCCAUGAGGUUCAUGUUUAGCAUGCAUUAUUUUUCCA